AUUGAACGCUGGCGGCAUGCUUUACACAUGCAAGUCGAACGGUAACAGGCCUUCGGGUGCUAACGAGUGGCGAACGGGUGAGUAAUGCAUCGGAACGUACCCAGAGGUGGGGGAUAACGCAGCGAAAGCUGUGCUAAUACCGCAUGUGAUCUGAGGAUGAAAGCGGGGGACCGAGCAGCAAUGUUUGGCCUCGCGCCUUUGGAGCGGCCGAUGUCGGAUUAGCUAGUUGGUGGGGUAAAGGCCUACCAAGGCGACGAUCCGUAGCUGGUCUGAGAGGACGACCAGCCACACUGGGACUGAGACACGGCCCAGACUCCUACGGGAGGCAGCAGUGGGGAAUUUUGGACAAUGGGCGCAAGCCUGAUCCAGCAAUGCCGCGUGCGGGAAGAAGGCCUUCGGGUUGUAAACCGCUUUUGGCAGGAACGAAACGGUGUCCGCUAAUACCGGGCGCUAAUGACGGUACCUGCAGAAUAAGCACCGGCUAACUACGUG
rnacentral:rRNA from 1 species